UAAAAAAAAAGCAAAGGCGGACUGGUCAAAGGGGGGGUUUGCUUGCAAACAAAACGGGUGCAGGUCAAGAAAUCGGCGCACACACUGUAAAAACAUUUAUAGUCUCCCCGGCAGAGAGGCCUCCAUCUAUUCAUCAGCGCCAAUGUUGGCAGAGCAGUUUGCAUCUUGGUUGUCCGUGACAGGGCCCGCCUGCUUCUCCGAGAUUUAUUCUUCCCCCAUGAUGUUCAGCCUCUAAUUAUUUUCCUGUUUGCUUCAAUACACGGGCACACAGGCAGCAUAUGAGCAUAAAAACAACGGGGCAGAUCGAGAUUAAUAAAAAAAAUAGAGUGCCGCCUCCUGCAGCCGGACACACGUCACCUCGCAGAGGCGCGACAGUGGCACAACGGCCGCCGCCGAAGCUCGCGCUGACAGGAAUACGAGAAAAACAGGCGAACAACACCCACCGCGUUCAAAGAUCCGCCCAUCUAACGCUGGAUAAUUAGAGACCCCAAAAUUCCUUGGUCAGCCUUUCAAAGCCGCGACGCUGCGGUAAUUUACUUGAUUGGAAUACAAUUUUGAGGUUCAAUUAAUUCCGAGCCGAUUUAGGAAUACAUUACAGGGAGACUGAUUUAUUUAGGUUAAGCUCCCAUCGGUGCGGAGCAAGAAGGCUUCAACAGAAUGAUGUUUCGUGGCGCAGAAGUGAAAAAUAUUCAAGCCUCUUGAAAAGGCGUUAAAGGAGCAUGAAAAGGAGCCAAGGGUGAUACUAUACCCCGACAACAUUUGGUUAAUUGGAGAUUGGUCACGGGCUGUAAUAUUUGACUGUAAUCUGAAAGGCCUGUGAAAGCACGAGUGUGCAGCGAGAGAGGGAGAGAGAUCAGCACAAGCUGUGAGGAGCAGCCAGUGAUAAGAUUAAACCCAUUCACAUCCCAUAAUGAAAAAUCAGCAGCACCGGCUCCCUCUUUUUUUUUUUUUGCCGGCCUCAUUUCCCACACCGUCACUCCUUUGGGUUGUUUUUCGCGUCGAUGACUAAAGAAGAGGCGCCACAACAACGCGUUACACGCCUGUGCGCUGGCACGUGGCGCGGCGGCGCACAUUCAAUAUGGUGUCGAAACGCUGGGAGGAAUCGAGAGGUGGAGAAAUAACAGCGUAAAUAUCAGCCUGUUCCUCCGCGUAACCAAACUGACUCAUUAUGAACUUCAAAGACACAGAUAGGAGUUUUAAUUAAGAGAAAUGCUGCGGAGCAGUGGAGAUAAGUAACAGGCCCCCCUCUCCCCCACCUCCCCCGCCUCCCCACAUCUCCACCCCUCGGUGCUCAGACAACAUCAUUAGGCCGGUACAGAGGCUGGUGGUGCGCAGCAGCCAACCCGUCGCCAAAGCCAAACGCGCCGCGUGGCCCCG
ensembl:lncRNA